ACGACUACUAUUAGACUACCCGUGUACGUCCUAGCCGUAAACGAUACUCGCUAGGUGUCGGCCACGGUGCGACCGUUGUCGGUGCCGUAGGGAAGCCGUGAAGCGAGCCACCUGGGAAGUACGGCCGCAAGGCUGAAACUUAAAGGAAUUGGCGGGGGAGCACAACAACGGGUGGAGCUUGCGGUUUAAUUGGACUCAACGCCGGGAAGCUCACCGGAUAAGACAGCGGAAUGAUUGCCGGGCUGAAGACCCUGCAUGACCAGCUG
rnacentral:rRNA from 1 species